rnacentral:rRNA from 1 species
ACCUGCCUGCAUGAGCGGGAGAACUUCUGGAAACGGAAGCUGAUACCGGAUGAGCAAAGAGGAGGCAUCUUCUUUUUGGAAAAGGGGACAAGAGUCCCGCAUGCAGAUGGACCUGCGGUGCAUUAGCUGGUUGGAGAGGUAACGGCUCACCAAGGCGACGAUGCAUAGCCGGCCUGAGAGGGCGGACGGCCACACUGGGACUGAGACACGGCCCAGACUCCUGCGGGAGGCAGCAGUAGGGAAUUUUCGUCAAUGGGGGGAACCCUGAACGAGCAAUGCCGCGUGAGCGAGGAAGGUCUUCGGAUCGUAAAGCUCUGUUGCCGGGGACAAAAGGCAGAAAGAGUGGAAAGCUUUCUGAGUGAUGGUACCCGGCGAGGAAGUCACGGCUAACUACGUGCCAGCAGCCGCGGUAAUACGUAGGUGGCGAGCGUUAUCCGGAAUGAUUGGGCGUAAAGGGUGCGCAGGCGGCCGGGCAAGUCCGCAGUAAAAACUGGAGGCUCAACCUUCAGGGGCUGCGGAAACUGUCCGGCUGGAGAGCAGGAGAGGACGGUGGAACUCCAUGUGUAGCGGUAAAAUGCGUAGAUAUAUGGAAGAACACCGGUGGCGAAGGCGGCCGUCUGGCCUGCAUCUGACGCUGAGGCACGAAAGCGUGGGGAGCAAAUAGGAUUAGAUACCCUAGUAGU